ACGUACGGUACGAACGUUAUUCGGAAUUACUGGGCUUAAAGAGUUCGUAGGCGGCUUGUCAAGUGGGGUGUGAAAUCCCUCGGCCUAACCGAGGAACUGCGCCUCAAACUGGCAGGCUUGAGGGAGACAGGGGUGAGCGGAACUGUUGGUGGAGCGGUGAAAUGCGUAGAUAUCAACAGGAACACCGGUGGCGAAGGCGGCUCACUGGGUCUCUUCUGACGCUGAGGAACGAAAGCUAGGGGAGCGAACGGG
rnacentral:rRNA from 1 species